rnacentral:rRNA from 1 species
UACAGAGGGUGCAAGCGUUAAUCGGAGUUACUGGGCGUAAAGGGCGCGUAGGCGGUUAUAUAAGUGAGAUGUGAAAUCCCUGGGCUUAACCUAGGAACUGCAUCUCAUACUGUAUGACUGGAGUAUUGUAGAGGGUAGUGGAAUUUCCGGUGUAGCGGUGAAAUGCGUAGAGAUCGGAAGGAACACCAGUGGCGAAGGCGGCUACCUGGACAAAUACUGACGCUGAGGCGCGAGAGCGUGGGGAGCAAACAGG